GCCAGGCGCAGUGGCUCACGCCUGUAAUCCCAGCACUUUGGGAGGCUGAGGUGGGGGGAUCACUUGAGCCCAGGAGUUCAAGACCUGCCUGGGCAACAUGGUGAGACCCCAUCUCUA
ensembl:misc_RNA Metazoa_SRP Metazoan signal recognition particle RNA